rnacentral:rRNA from 1 species
AUUGAACGCUGGCGGCACGCUUUACACAUGCAAGUCGAACGGUAACAGGGAGCUUGCUCCGCUGACGAGUGGCGAACGGGUGAGUAAUACAUCGGAACGUGCCUAGUAGUGGGGGAUAACUACUCGAAAGAGUGGCUAAUACCGCAUGAGAUCUACGGAUGAAAGCAGGGGAUCGCAAGACCUUGUGCUACUAGAGCGGCCGAUGGCAGAUUAGGUAGUUGGUGGGAUAAAAGCUUACCAAGCCGACGAUCUGUAGCUGGUCUGAGAGGACGAUCAGCCACACUGGGACUGAGACACGGCCCAGACUCCUACGGGAGGCAGCAGUGGGGAAUUUUGGACAAUGGGCGCAAGCCUGAUCCAGCAAUGCCGCGUGCAGGAUGAAGGCCUUCGGGUUGUAAACUGCUUUUGUACGGAACGAAAAGCCCUGGGUUAAUACCCUGGGGUCAUGACGGUACCGUAAGAAUAAGCACCGGCUAACUACGUGCCAGCCGCCGCAGUAAGAC